UCAGACGAUGCGUCAUGCAUAUCAAUAAGCGGAGGAAAAGAAACUAACAAGGAUUCCCCUAGUAACGGCGAGUGAAGCGGGAAGAGCUCAAAUUUGAAAUCUUAAAGGGUUUCCCUUUACGAAUUGUAGUUUAAAGAAGUGUUUUCUGUUGAGGUUUUGGUAAAAGUUCUUUGGAAUAGGACAUCAUAGAGGGUGAGAAUCCCGUAUUUGACCUUUACUUUCAACUUUGUGAUACACUUUCAAAGAGUCGGAUUGUUUGGGAAUGCAGUCCAAAAUGGGUGGUAAAUUUCAUCUAAAGCUAAAUAUUGGCGAGAGACCGAUAGCGAACAAGUACCGUGAGGGAAAGAUGAAAAGAACUUUGAAAAGAGAGUUAAACAGUACGUGAAAUUGUCAAAAGGGAAGCGUUUGACACCAGUGUUGUUUUUCUGAAAAUCAAUUAAAGAACUGUUUAUGCUAAGCUGUUUAGACUUUAUCAGCUAUCUGUUUAGUUUUGAGCUUUUCUUUAAUGCACUUUUCAGUUAACAAGUCAACAUCAAUUUCUUUUGCUGUAAAAAAGCAUGAGGAAGGUGGCUUGAGAUUCGUCUUAAGUGUUUAUAGCCUCUUGCCUAUGCAGUCGGAGAGAUUGAGGUCUGCAGCGUAGAUCCUUCGGGGCUAAAUGCAUUUGUGCUAAGUUAUAGCAUUUUAUAGACAACUUGUUGACUAUGAUUUGUCUUGUAGCUUACUCGCUUAUGUUAUUUUACCUACGCUUAGGAUGUUGACACACGCGCGUGCUCG
rnacentral:rRNA from 1 species